AUGGCACAGCCAAGCCUCCAACUGAAGCUAGUUGUGUGGGCCCUUUCUUGCAUCAGCCCCCUCCCCAGCUGGUCCCAACCCAGCUCUGUGUCAUCUAGGCUUCUCUUUUCUCUGACCUUAAUGCUACUAAGUCCCCACAGGUGGGGCUGGGCAGGCACACUGGGUCCUUGACGUCAUAGCACAAGCCCUGGAUGACAUCAUAGAGCAGGUGCUGCCUGCUCCCUGGAGCAUGCCCUAGGAGCUUGGCCCCAGCAGAGGUUCCUGGCCCAUGGAUCAUCUACCACAUUCCUGGUAAUGGUCCAGUCAACUGUGGCUAUGGAGAGGGGUCCCCUACUGCUGUCCCUUUGAUUGCCUUGAUGGACAUAAGGAUAGUGUGAUUCACAUGUCUUCAGAGCCCUCUGUCUGCUUGCUGUAGUGGUGUCCUGGAGAGGAGACUUACUGCUAUCAUCCCCAUUUUACAGAAGCUGGAGAAAUCCGGGAAGUCUGGAGCACACAUCCCCUCACCAUCAGGGCAGAAGCUCAGCCUGGUCAGAGAGAAAGGAAAGUUGCUUUGAUGUCCUCUCACCUAGACUAUUCAUUCCCCUGAGAAGCAAGAGGAGUCAAGGAAGAUAGAGUCAUGUGGGAGGACAUAACGUGCUCUUCAAGUCCUGAUGCUGCAUCCCCACUGCUGUGUGAUCUCAAACAAGUCACUUAACCUCUCUGAGCCGUGGUUUCCUCAUCUGUAAAAUGGAGCUAAUAAUACCACCUCUGUUACUGAACAGAAUUUCUAAAAGUCCCAAGCAGAUGUUGUCAGUAUGCAAGGGAAGACAAAAUAUGGGGAGGGAGGGUGAGAACAGGUUGCCCUACCCGGUCACCAUGGCUACCUGAUGGAGGAAGGAGAUUCAGAGGAUAACAGAGAUUGGGUACGGAGAUUGUGAAACCCAGGAUAGGAAGCAAAAGGGCCCAACUUAGGGAGCCUUGCUGGGAAGGGCCCCUGGAAUUCAUGGACCACGCUUACUGAGAACCCACUGGAAGAAAUGACACAGUACUGCAGUAUGAAGGACUCAGGUCAGACUGUAAACAGACUUCCAGCCAGUCAGGCAACAACAAGGGCACUCCCUCCUGGGGUCUUUGGCUAUGCCUGAGCAAAAUCUCCCCCGUGGAGAGGCUAAGCCUGACUGCAGGAAGCAAUGCAGAAGGAUGGACAGGGCAACCCCGAAGAUGCUUCUGCAGGGCCAGAGAAGGAGGCCACAGUAGUCUGGCAGAUCCUCCCCGGGGUUCUCUUUCAAACCUUGUCCUCUGGAGGCCUUUCAGAACCUAUCCUGACCUUGAAGGGAAGUCACUGGGCCUGUUCUGGAGCAGGGGCCACGUCCUCACAGACAUGCCCAGGUCAGCGUCAGGCCACAACUCUAUUAUUUAAGGAUUCCACAAAAGAGCAAACCUCCGGGCCUGGAAGAAUGGCCGGGAUCCUGACUCUUCCUGCACAGGAAAUGCAGCGGCUGUGCCGGAGCCCUGGCUUGACCUGCUGAGGACUCAGAGCCCCUACAGAUUCCCAGCCUGAAGGGGCUCCACUGUGGCUGAGAUGAUGACACCUGGGCCAGACUGGGCUCCUCCCUUCCAGACUGAGCUGAGACCUACCACCAGACCAACUGCUUGUGGACUCUGCAGUGAUUUUAUUGUGAUUUCCUAGUUGUCGCAGUUAGUAGCAUUAGUUUGUUAAUUACUGUAUAUUUUGAAAGUAAGAGAAAAGGGAAUUCCCACCGGA